AAGUCGUGGAACUCUGGGGAGACUGCCGGUGAUAAACCGGAGGAAGGCGGGGAUGACGUCAAGUCCUCAUGGCCCUUACAUCCCGGGCUACACACGUGCUACAAUGGCAGGUACAGAGGGCUGCGAAGCCGCGAGGUGGAGCGAAUCCCAGAAAACCUGUCUCAGUCCGGAUUGAAGUCUGCAACUCGACUUCAUGAAGGCGGAAUCGCUAGUAACCGCGAAUCAGCAGGUCGCGGUGAAUACGUUCCCGGGCCUU
rnacentral:rRNA from 1 species